rnacentral:rRNA from 1 species
CCUACGGGAGGCAGCAGUGGGGGAUAUUGCACAAUGGGGGGAACCCUGAUGCAGCGACGCCGCGUGGGUGAAGAAGCGCCUCGGCGCGUAAAGCCCUGUCAGCAGGGAAGAAAAUGACGGUACCUGAAGAAGAAGCCCCGGCUAACUACGUGCCAGCAGCCGCGGUAAUACGUAGGGGGCAAGCGUUAUCCGGAUUUACUGGGUGUAAAGGGGGCGCAGGCGGGGAUGCAAGCCAGGAGGGAAAGCCCGGGGGCCAACCCCGGGACUGCUCUUGGAACUGCGUGGCUGGAGUGCAGGAGGGGCAGGCGGAAUUCGUGGUGUAGCGGUGAAAUGCGUAGAUAUCAGGAGGAACACCGGUGGCGAAGGCGGCCUGCUGGACUGCAACUGACGUUGAGGCCCGAAAGCGUGGGGAGCAAACAGGAUUAGAUACCCCUGUAGUC